UGACUACAGGGAUCCAAAUCGCCAGUUCAGCAGCCAGAGGUCUACAGUUCAGGACGAUUAUCUUGACCUGUCUCCACCACAGCAAAAUGAUUAUCUGAAGAGUGUGAUGGGGGGAUCUGCAAGAGGUUCUCUGCUGGAGUCAGAGAGUGCAUUCAUUGGUAAGACCACCAUGAAAUCAAGAUGUGCAACUCUUUUCUUUUGUAUCACGGUCACUAAAAUUACACAGCUAGUGCAAAUUAGGGCUGGAUGAAAAAAACAUUUCCGAUUAA